rnacentral:rRNA from 1 species
UACAGAGGGGGCAAGCGUUGUUCGGAAUUACUGGGCGUAAAGGGCGCGUAGGCGGCCUGUUAAGUCGAACGUGAAAUCCCCGGGCUCAACCCGGGAACUGCGUCCGAUACUGGCAGGCUUGAAUUCGGGAGAGGGAUGCGGAAUUCCAGGUGUAGCGGUGAAAUGCGUAGAUAUCUGGAGGAACACCGGUGGCGAAGGCGGCAUCCUGGACCGAGAUUGACGCUGAUGCGCGAAAGCCAGGAGAGCAAACGGG